rnacentral:rRNA from 1 species
UACGUAGGGGGCAAGCGUUGUCCGGAUUUAUUGGGCGUAAAGAGCGUGUAGGCGGCCUUACAGGUCAGCUGUGAAAACUCGAGGCUCAACCUCGAGACGUCGGUUGAAACCGUAUGGCUAGAGUCCGGAAGAGGAGAGUGGAAUUCCCGGUGUAGCGGUGAAAUGCGCAGAUAUCGGGAAGAACACCCGUGGCGAAGGCGGCUCUCUGGGACGGUACUGACGCUGAGACGGCGAAAGCGUGGGGAGCCGAACAGG